UGAGGCAGGAGAAUCGCUUGAACCAGGAGUCAGAAGUUGCAGUGAGCUGAGAUUGCACCACUGCACUCCAGCCUGGGUGACAGAGUGACUGUCUCAAAAAAAAAAAAA
rnacentral:miRNA from 1 species